rnacentral:rRNA from 1 species
AUUGAACGCUGGCGGCAGGCCUAACACAUGCAAGUCGAACGAGUGGCGGACGGGUGAGUAAUGUCUGGGAAACUGCCCGAUGGAGGGGGAUAACUACUGGAAACGGUAGCUAAUACCGCAUACCAUCGGAUGUGCCCAGAUGGGAUUAGCUUGUAGGUGAGGUACCGGCUCACCUAGGCGACGAUCCCUAGCUGGUCUGAGAGGAUGACCAGGCAAACUGGAACUGAGCCACGGUCCAGACUCCUACGUGAGGCACCAGUGGGGAAUAUGGCACAAUGGGCGCGAGCCUUAUGCAGCCAUGCCGGGGGUAUGAAGAAGGCCUUCGGGUUUUAAAGUACUUUCAGCGGUGAGGCGUUACCCGCAGAAGAAGCACCGGCUAACUCCGUGCCAGCAGCCGCGGUAAUAC